UACGUAGGCAGCAAGCGUUGUUCGGAGUUACUGGGCGUAAAGGGUGCGUAGGUGGCUCUAUAAGUAUGGUGUGAAAUCUCCCGGCUUAACUGGAGGGUGCGCCGUAGACUGUGGGGCUAGAGUGUGGGAGAGGAAAGUGGAAUUCCUGGUGUAGCGGUGAAAUGCGUAGAUAUCAGGAGGAACACCGGUGGUGUAAACGGCUUUCUGGACCAUAAACUGACACU
rnacentral:rRNA from 1 species